rnacentral:rRNA from 1 species
CCUACGGGAGGCAGCAGUGGGGAAUAUUGGGCAAUGGGCGCAAGCCUGACCCAGCAACGCCGCGUGAAGGAAGAAGGCUUUCGGGUUGUAAACUUCUUUUCUCAGGGACGAAGAAAGUGACGGUCCCUGAGGAAUAAGCCACGGCUAACUACGUGCCAGCAGCCGCGGUAAUACGGAGGUGGCAAGCGUUAUCCGGAUUUAUUGGGUGUAAAGGGCGUGUAGGCGGGAGGGUAAGUCAGAUGUGAAAACUCAGGGCUCAACCCUGGGCUUGCAUUUGAAACUGUGUUUCUUGAGUGCUGGAGAGGCAGUCGGAAUUCAGUGUGUAGCGGUGAAAUGCGUAGAUAUACGGAGGAACACCAGUGGCGAAGGCGGAUUGCUAGGCAGUAACUGACGCUGAGGCGCGAAAGCGUGGGGAGCAAACAGGAUUAGAUACCCGGGUAGUC